rnacentral:rRNA from 1 species
UACGUAGGUGGCAAGCGUUGUCCGGAUUUACUGGGCGUAAAGGGCGUGCAGGCGGUCUGUUAAGUUCAGGGUGAAAGCUCCCGGCUCAACUGGGAGAGGUCCUUGGAUACUGGCGGACUCGAGGGAGGUAGAGGAGAGUGGAAUUCCCGGUGUAGUGGUGAUAUGCGUAGAUAUCAGGAAGAACACCCGUGGCGAAGGCGGCUCUCUGGGACGUGACUGACGCUGAGACGCGAAAGCGUGGGGAGCAAACAGG